GUGUCCUGACAGCACAUAUGCUAAAAUUGGAACGAUGCAGAGGUGAUUACCAAGGACCCUGCACAAGGAUGACACACAUUCGUGAGACGUUUCCUAUAAAA
rnacentral:snRNA from 1 species